GUUCCACCCGCGGCGAAGACAUGGAGGCCGACGGCUUGGAAUCCCUUCUAGAUGCAGUCGACAGGUGCGCAAGCCUGUUUGCCUCGGUCGUCCUUUUGCGUUUUAUUUGUGCAUUAUUCGCGAUUUUGUCCGCGGUAAAGCAACUCUGAGACGAUUCGAUACCAUGUUUCCACUGCGAGAGGAAUUCGUUGCAGAGCAACCAAAUCCGGCGCCCCUCGCUGUACUGCCGCGGGGUGGAGCCAUUCAGGAAUUGUGCAUCCGGCUGCGUACAGGACGUGGGGAACCGCAGAUCGCACAGAAGUGUCUGCCAGGCCAGGGGAAGGAAGAACACUACCCCGACGCAGUCCGCGCAGUCAACCGGGAAGGUUAACCCAGAGGCUCCAGGCUGUACGAAGAGGUUGAGGCUAGUCAGUGCUCCACUAGACAGAACCCCAUGCCUGUUGAGGAUGAGCACGUUGGAGAAAUUAAUUAGGCAGUAUGCAGAAGCUUUCUAAGUGUGUGAUAAAGCCUGAGUUGGGGAUAAGCUUUGACUCGCUAGGUGAACACUUCUACAACCUAUGUUCGAGAUCAGAACAGAGCCAUGGAGGACGCUAUCAGUAAAGUGUUCCCGGAUACUUCCAUAGUUACAUGAAAAUGUUUAGAAUGCACGCGGACUUUCUUAAUUUUGGAUUUAGACUGGACUGCAAG